UGGGGAAUAUUGCACAAUGGGCGCAAGCCUGAUGCAGCCAUGCCGCGUGUGUGAAGAAGGCCUUCGGGUUGUAAAGCACUUUCAGCGAGGAGGAAGGGUAGUGUGUUAAUAGCACAUUGCAUUGACGUUACUCGCAGAAGAAGCACCGGCUAACUCCGUGCCAGCAGCCGCGGUAAUACGGAGGGGGCAAGCGUUAAUCGGAAUUACUGGGCGUAAAGCGCACGCAGGCGGUUUGUUAAGUCAGAUGUGAAAUCCCCGCGCUUAACGUGGGAACUGCAUUUGAAACUGGCAAGCUAGAGUCUUGUAGAGGGGGGUAGAAUUCCAGGUGUAGCGGUGAAAUGCGUAGAGAUCUGGAGGAAUACCGGUGGCGAAGGUGGCCCCCUGGACAAAGACUGACGCUCAGGUGCGAAAGCGUGGGGAGCAAACA
rnacentral:rRNA from 1 species